rnacentral:rRNA from 1 species
CGCUCGACAUCAGAGUUUUGAUCCUGGCUCAGGAUGAACGCUAGCUACAGGCUUAACACAUGCAAGUCGAGGGGCAGCGGGGAUGAAGCUUUGCUUUUAUCUGCCGGCGACCGGCGCACGGGUGCGUAACGCGUAUCGAACCUACCGCAUACUCGGGGAUAGCCUUUCGAAAGAAAGAUUAAUACCCGAUGGCAUGAAGCUCCCGCAUGAGGGCUUCAUUAAAGAUUCAUCGGUCUGAGAUGGGGAUGCGUUCCAUUAGGCAGUUGGCGGGGUAACGGCCCACCAAACCAUCGAUGGAUAGGGGUUCUGAGAGGAAGGUCCCCCACAUUGGAACUGAGACACGGUCCAA